GUGGGGAAUAUUGGACAAUGGGCGAAAGCCUGAUCCAGCCAUGCCGCGUGUGUGAAGAAGGUCUUCGGAUUGUAAAGCACUUUAAGUUGGGAGGAAGGGCAGUAAGUUAAUACCUUGCUGUUUUGACGUUACCAACAGAAUAAGCACCGGCUAACUUCGUGCCAGCAGCCGCGGUAAUACGAAGGGUGCAAGCGUUAAUCGGAAUUACUGGGCGUAAAGCGCGCGUAGGUGGUUCAGCAAGUUGAAGGUGAAAUCCCCGGGCUCAACCUGGGAACUGCCUACAAAACUGCAUGACUAGAGUACGGUAGAGGGUAGUGGAAUUUCCUGUGUAGCGGUGAAAUGCGUAGAGAUAGGAAGGAACACCAGUGGCGAAGGCGACUACCUGGACUGAUACUGACACUGAGGUGCGAAAGCGUGGGGAGCAAACAGGAUUAGAAACCCCGGUAGUCC
rnacentral:rRNA from 1 species